rnacentral:rRNA from 1 species
AGAGUUUGAUCCUGGCUCAGGAUGUACGCUAGCUACAGGCUUAACACAUGCAAGUCGAGGGGAAACGAUAGAGAAAGCUUGCUUUUUCUAGGCGUCGACCGGCGCACGGGUGAGUAACGCGUAUCCAACCUGCCCACCACUUGGGGAUAACCUUGCGAAAGUAAGACUAAUACCCAAUGAUGUCUCUAGAAGACAUCUGAAAGGGAUUAAAGAUUUAUCGGUGAUGGAUGGGGAUGCGUCUGAUUAGCUUGUUGGCGGGGUAACGGCCCACCAAGGCAACGAUCAGUAGGGGUUCUGAGAGGAAGGUCCCCCACAUUGGAACUGAGACACGGUCCAAACUCCUACGGGAGGCAGCAGUGAGGAAUAUUGGUCAAUGGGCGAGAGCCUGAACCAGCCAAGUAGCGUGCAGGAUGACGGCCCUAUGGGUUGUAAACUGCUUUUAUAAGGGAAUAAAGUGAGUCUCGUGAGGCUUUUUGCAUGUACCUUAUGAAUAAGGACCGGCUAAUUCCGUGCCAGCAGCCGCGGUAAUACGGAAGGUCCGGGCGUUAUCCGGAUUUAUUGGGUUUAAAGGGAGCGUAGGCCGGAGAUUAAGCGUGUUGUGAAAUGUAGAUGCUCAACAUCUGCACUGCAGCGCGAACUGGUUUCCUUGAGUACGCACAAAGUGGGCGGAAUUCGUGGUGUAGCGGUGAAAUGCUUAGAUAUCACGAAGAACUCCGAUUGCGAAGGCAGCUCACUGGAGCGCAACUGACGCUGAAGCUCGAAAGUGCGGGUAUCGAACAGGAUUAGAUACCCUGGUAGUCCGCACGGUAAACGAUGGAUGCCCGCUGUUGGUCUGAAUAGGUCAGCGGCCAAGCGAAAGCAUUAAGCAUCCCA